rnacentral:rRNA from 1 species
AGUGAACGCUGGCGGUAGGCCUAACACAUGCAAGUCGAACGGCAGCACAGUAAGAGCUUGCUCUUACGGGUGGCGAGUGGCGGACGGGUGAGGAAUACAUCGGAAUCUACUUUUUCGUGGGGGAUAACGUAGGGAAACUUACGCUAAUACCGCAUACGACCUACGGGGGAAAGCAGGGGAUCUUCGGACCUUGCGCGAUUGAAUGAGCCGAUGUCGGAUUAGCUAGUUGGCGGGGUAAAGGCCCACCAAGGCGACGAUCCGUAGCUGGUCUGAGAGGAUGAUCAGCCACACUGGAACUGAGACACGGUCCAGACUCCUACGGGAGGCAGCAGUGGGGAAUAUUGGACAAUGGGCGCAAGCCUGAUCCAGCCAUGCCGCGUGGGUGAAGAAGGCCUUCGGGUUGUAAAGCGCUUUUGUUGGGGAAGAAAAGCAGCAGGUUAAUACCCCGCUGUUCUGACGGUACCCGAAGAAUAAGCACCGGCUAACUUCGUG